AUGAACGCUGGCGGCGUGCCUCAUCCCUGCCAGUCGAGCGAACAGACGAGGAGCUUGCUCCUCUGACGUUAGCGGCGGACGGGUGAGUAACACGUGGAUAACCUACCUAUAAGACUGGGAUAACUUCGGGAAACCGGAGCUAAUACCGGAUAAUAUAUUGAACCGCAUGGUUCAAUAGUGAAAGACGGUUUUGCUGUCACUUAUAGAUGGAUCCGCGCCGCAUUAGCUAGUUGGUAAGGUAACGGCUUACCAAGGCAACGAUGCGUAGCCGACCUGAGAGGGUGAUCGGCCACACUGGAACUGAGACACGGUCCAGACUCCUACGGGAGGCAGCAGUAGGGAAUCUUCCGCAAUGGGCGAAAGCUUGACGGAGCAACGCCGCGUGAGUGAUGAAGGUCUUCGGAUCGUAAAACUCUGUUAUUAGGGAAGAACAAAUGUGUAAGUAACUAUGCACGUCUUGACGGUACCUAAUCAGAAAGCCACGGCUAACUACGUG
rnacentral:rRNA from 1 species